UACGUAGGGUGCGAGCGUUACUCGGAAUUACUGGGCGUAAAGCGUGCGCAGGCGGUUCGUUGUGUCGGUGGUGAAAGCCCCGGGCUUAACCUGGGAAUGGCCGUCGAAACUGGCGAACUGGAGUGUGGCAGAGGGGGGUGGAAUUCCGCGUGUAGCAGUGAAAUGCGUAGAGAUGCGGAGGAACACCGAUGGCGAAGGCAGCCCCCUGGGCUAGCACUGACGCUCAGGCACGAAAGCGUGGGGAGCAAACAGG
rnacentral:rRNA from 1 species